rnacentral:misc_RNA from 1 species
CUCAAAGAACAAAAAAGCUUUAUGCUUUAUCAACCUAUCAUCUUGAAUACAAUUCUCUCUGAUUUUUAACAAUUCGAUUCCUCUGCCUCCUCUGGUUUGUAGAUGCAAGAAAAAAGUGAGUAUUUCUAUCCCUAUGAGUGGUCCAGUUGAUUCUUUAUUUCUGAAACCAAAACGUCUCCUCCAGUUGCCAUAAUUGAUGGAGCUGAGAUUUUGUAGAUUCAAUUUCAUCAUGUAACAUGGCUAGGGAUGUGGAGGAAUGGAGUGCAUCUAGUUUCUUGGAGGG